rnacentral:lncRNA from 10 species
CCUAUGUUAAUCUGUCCUCUCCUCCUCUUAAUCUACUCCCAUUGCUCUAGCCCAUUCUGUUAACAGAUAGAAGAGUAGUGCUUUCGCACGCCCCAAUUUGCUCCCUGAUGACUAAUGGCUGUUUAGUUUCAUCUUCUUCUGGGGCCCACCCUGGCCCUUAAUUAGCAUAUUUACUGUACACACCCUACUUCACUAUUAACUUAUAAUCAUGACCCUUUCCCCAUAUCCUUCACAAUGCUGAAAAACAUUCUACUUUUAUUACUGGAAGCAAUUUUUUUUUUUUUUUGAGAUGGAGUCUUGCUUUGUCACCCAGGUUGGAGUGCAGUGGUGUGAUCUUGGCUCACUGCAACCUCCGUCUCCUGGGUUCAAGUGAUUCUCCUGCCUCAGCCACCUGACCUCAUGAUCUGCCCACCUCGGCCUCCCAAAGUACUGGGAUUACAGGCAUGAGCCACCGCGAACAGCCCCAAUUUUUUUUUUUUUAACUCACCAGUUUGUGGUACCUUUGACAGGAACCACAGGAAACUAAUACAGUGUAUGUGUGGCUUGACAGCUACACCAGCUUCCACCUCUGUCUUCACAUGGCUUUCUCCCCUCUGGGUCUCUUCUCCACUUCUUGUAAGAAUAUCAGUCUUAUUAUAUGUGAACCCACCCUAAUCCACUGUGAACUCAUUUUAACUAAUCACAUAUAAUUUUUUAGAAAUCACACCCUAUCUCCAAAAAAGAUCACAAUCACAGGUACUGUGGGUUAGGACUUCAACACUCCUUCUAGGGGGACACAAGUCAACACACGAGAAGAUCUAAGCCAAAAAUGGGGUGGGGGUGUCCCACCUCUAGAGAGUGACCACAUGUUUAAGAAAAAUUAAAACUCCCUGAAGAAGAAAAGGAGAAAUAAAGUGUUUCCCAGACAAGUAAAAACUGAGGGAAUGCAUCACCACUAGACUCGGCCUACAAGAAGUGCUUAGGGGAAUGUUAUAUCUGAAAGCAAACAAAUGGUAUCUGCCACCAAGAAAAAACAGGAAAGUAAAACCGGACAUUCCAGCCUGGGCAAGUGAACGAGACCCCUAUCUCUACAAAAAAAUAAAAUAAAGCUGGGUAUGAUGGUUCACACCUAUCUAUAAUCCCAGCACUUUGGGAGGCCAAUGUGGGAGGAUCCCUUUAUUCCAGGAGUUUGAGAGUGGCCUGGACAACAUAGCAAGAUGUCAUCUCUCCAAAAAUAAUAAUAAUAAAAAAGCCAGGUGUGGUGGCAGGCUGUAGUCCCAGCUACUCAGGAGGCUGAGGUGAGAGGAUCACCUGAGCCCUGGAAGGUCAAGGCUGCAGUGAACCAUGACUGCACUGUUCCACUUGAGCCUAGGAGAUAGAGAAUGAUUCUGUCUCAAAAAAAAUAUGUAUUUUUUUAAAGUAAAAUAAAAUGAAAAAAUUAGCUGGGCAUGGUGCAUGCACCUGUAGUCCCAGCUACUCAGGAGGCUGAGGUAGGAGGAUUGCUU